GCGAGAGAAGAGAGAGGAAGAGACAGGCUGGCUGGAAAGGACAGCUUUGCUGAGCCCAGGAGAAAAUGGUCUGAGUAAUUAUCAAUGCCUGCCGCUAUGUGGCCAGGAAGAUGGGGACCCUGUGCCACCGGGAGCACCAGGAGCCACCACCGUGCCCACUGCAGGCAGCCCCCCACCGCCACCACCAAAAUGUAAAGGCAGAGGUAUCAACAGCCCCCCAAGCACGAGCCUCGCUUCCCAGGAACAGCAACCCCAUCCAAGACCAGCCCUGCAGGUCCUGAGGGUAAAAGUGCUUGUGGUCCUGACCUGAAGGCCACGAGCUUUCCUCCCACCAGAUUUCCCAGAGAAUGCAUUUGCUGGGAAUCCUGCAGCCCAGGGAUUGGAAAAUAUCAGCAAAUCCCUCCUGUAUCUGCUCUCAACACAGAAGCACAAUGACAGAAAAUGUCUUGAUCAGUCUCUCGUUACCAGAAUUUUCCAGCUGGCAGAAAAAAAAGAUUGCCAAUGUGUAUCAGAUGCUCCCAGCACUUUUGGGCUGUGGAGCGCCAGGGGAAGAGCAUGAGCCAUUGCAUCCUAGCAGCGAAUCGGAUUUUUAUACUGUGAAACCAAAUUGUGCCCCUAAAGAUAUUGGUAUACAUUCAGGCAAUUUCCAUGAAGGUAAAAUCAGCUCCUGAGCUAGAGUAAG